UGAAACACAUUUUGUUGAAGUGCAGCGCGCCAAAUAAAUGCUCCAUUUGAGAGAAAUUAUACUCUUUUACAUUAAAAAGCCAUAUUUUGUGGAAAACAUGUAAUCUAAUAAAAUGACAUAGAAUAUCAAGAUACCGUGGCAGUCAACAGUUAACGUUGCCAUGCAGUUCAAUGAGGACCAAGGCACAGGGAAGAUAUCUACUAUUCCAGAUUGUGCCAAGCAACUCUACAUGGAUAAAAGUGUUCAAUGCUAUGGUCCUGGAGGAUACAAUGGGAUGGUGAUAGGAGUGGGGUCAGACAGACAGCGGAAGCACGUCUAUCAUGGACCUGAGGUUAAUUAUUCAUUUCAAUGAAUGGAUGAAGAGUUCAAUCUUGAUAGAAAGGUUACCCCAAUGACUUGAAGUUUACAGUGUGGUGGAUUCUACUAUGUCAGUUGUCAAGUCACCUGGACUAGGGAGCCAUUGGAAAGAACCCUGCAAUCCACAACGUCACAUCCUGGUCAUCCAUUUCCUGAAAGGGAGAGUUUCUGAUAAUACAGGACAGAGAAGGCAUGUCGCACAGGGGACAGACGCAGUGAGCAUCAGGAAUGUUAAUCUCUGCCUCUGAGCCAGAAGUCUGUUCUGACAGCUGAAUCAUUGGCCCGAAACAUUUCACAUUUUUGUUUUAACGAUAAACUGGGACUCGUGAUUUAAUUAGUCCACUGAUCAUCCAGACUUUGACUUCAAUUCAAUCAGUUAUGCACAGUUUAGUGUUAAAACACCUAAUGUUGGUACGCCCAAGGAGAGGUUGGAAAAACUCCUUUAGUCUUUUGGACAAAUCCAAUAGUUAUGUAUUUACUGAACUAAACUAAUGCAAAUACUUUUAUAAACCAGGUGGAUCAAAUCCUUAAUGCUGACUGGCCCAAAGCUAUAGUAAAUGACGCCACAUUCAACAGGAAUGACAUCACCUAACUGAUUACCGCUCUAAUUGCAUUGGUAACUAGUUUCUACUAGCCUUAAGGCAUCUCAGGGCUUUCUGGUAUAUUGGUAUAUACCACGGCUAAGUGCUUUAUUUAAGGCCCUUUUGCAAUGCAUCUUGUGUAAGAACAACUCUUAGCCUUGGCCAUUAGUUGGCCAUAAAUAUAAUUACAUAAUGCUACUUCAAAGUAAAUUCCCUCCUUGAAUCCUGAGAUUCCUUAGUUGAGCCCAUGACAUUCUGAUAGGGCUUUUUAUUUAUUCAUUUUUUAAUCUGGAUCAAAUCCAAAAACAUUAUGCAAUGAGGGUUAAGUAGAUCUUAGUUGUCAGAUGUGCAUCAAACCCAAAUUGAGCCCAAUACACAAUGUAUGCUUUAUUUACCCACAUGCCUGUCAAAUUGUUGUCAGUUCAUCAAAGAGAAUCCGAUUGUAAUUGUGUAACAGUGUUGUAGUUUUUUUUUCAAGUUAGUAUAAUAAAAAAAUCUCCUUAUCUAAUAAGUACAUUGAACUUUCAAGUUCCAUUAACUUUCCCAUUCGUUGUUUUUGCCUAACCACAUUCGCGUAAGUGAAUGUCUGACUGACUACCCUUUGUUAAAUAGCGUAGUGGUUAGAAACGCGGAACAACAGGUCCCACGUGUUAUACUGAAACACAAUGGUGUUUCACACAAUGGUGUUACAAUAAAAUAUUCAAACAUGGUGUGAUGUUAAUGCGUGAUCAAAUUAUAUAAUGUCAAGAGUCGAACACUUUCUAUUGCGGGCCGCCUGAUCUAGGCGUGCCUGUUUUCUUGUUUCUCUGUACGCCUGUAAUGUGUUUCUAAGAAGGCAAGGGGGUAUUGGGUGAUGUUCUUAUUAUUUGUAUUUCUGUUUUUAUGGACAUUCUUUAAGCCAAAAACACCCAUUGUAUGGUUUGUACAAAUUUUCAGUAAUACAUUUAAUGUUGGGUUGGAAAAACUGAUCCUUGCAUUAUUGUGUGUCCAAUAACAAAAUAUUGGGAAUUAAGACAUGUGAUACUGGCAUAGAGCGAUGUAAUGACCCGCAAAGCCCAGAAUGCAUUGGGGUGAGGUAACCAUCUGUUUUGAGGUGCUCAUCUGCUGGGUACUAACUGGCCAAAUGAGCUGUCUCCCAGAGAACCAGUCAUUUGCAGUCCUUCUGACUGAUUUGAAGAUGUGCUUACUAUAACAUGGGAUGUGAGACUGAGCAGAAUCUUGAAUGCAUCUGGGAGGGGAACUCAGCAAAUGUGCCAAUAAUUACUAGGUUUCACUGAUUGGUAAUAUGUGCAUCAAUGUCCAUUACAUCUAUACAGUACAUAACCUUUUAUUCAUCACAUUUUUAAACAUUCAGAAAACAUACAGGGGGUAGUAGCCAGUAACAGGAGGAGUCUUUUGGCAUUAAAUACCUCCAAGCCUUUUGCCAGGGGUAGCUCCAGACCACCAACUACCCUGAGACAAGUAUUGCCUACAGAUGUCUCUUCGAUCAGACGAGCCCCAAGGGGUGCAAAGCUGGACAGAAAGAUCUGGUCAGUGACUCAAACCAGCCACAUUAAGUAGGGCGAAAAGCCUGACAUUACGUGAGGCACUCUGUUAGGGACGGCCUGUGGGAAGACAAGCCAGUGGCCCAGCCCUGUAAAGGCAUUGGAGAAAGGGCAAAGUUAAUUAAAGACUAAAUCAGUAUCUCUCACAUAGUUUGCCAGAUUAUAAAUCAUAAGUUAUAAGUCAAUAAGGUUUUGAGGCUGAUCUUUGGUAACUUAAACCUUCAGCUCCCUCCACAGAUUU